UACGUAGGGGGCUAGCGUUGCUCGGAAUUACUGGGCGUAAAGGGAGCGUAGGCGGACAUUUAAGUCAGGGGUGAAAUCCCAGAGCUCAACUCUGGAACUGCCUCUGAUACUGGGUGUCUUGAGUGUGAGAGAGGUAUGUGGAACUCCGAGUGUAGAGGUGAAAUUCGUAGAUAUUCGGAAGAACACCAGUGGCGAAGGCGACUUACUGGACACAUAUUGACGCUGAGGUGCGAAAGCGUGGGGAGCAAACAGG
rnacentral:rRNA from 1 species